rnacentral:lncRNA from 1 species
UUUUUAUUCAUUUUGGAAGCUAAGCUUCAUCUUCUCCAUGAAGAGAACAAAAACAGAACCCUAGCAUGAAGUUUUAGCCGCAGAACCCUAGACCGAAGAAUCCAAUAGCCAUCGGCAAAGACCCCCCCCCCCCAAGCCAUUGUUUCUUCUUCCUUGACUAACCUAGGAGACACACCAACAGACUCGCCGUUCUUCCACCUUUGAGCUCGCCGGAAAACGGACAAUAGCCGUUAAUCACAAACCUUCAACACCCCUGACCCCUUCUCUUCAACCAGAUCAGCUAUUACACAUACAGAGGACCCUUCUUAUUCAUUUUGAAACAAAAAACCAAAAUCUAAGGCUAAGGUCUAAAAGAAGGAUCAACAGCUAGAACGGAGAGGACAAAAAACUAGUCGUUGCUACAUUUUUUCACUUCGCCAAUCAAUGACCCUUAAGCCUUUUCUUCUUCUUUGAACCCAACAAACACACAACAACAUAGACCCCUACAACAAGAAACGACUUCAAAAUGAUGGAUUUUGAUUGAAUAUUGGAGUUGUUUGCGAGUCCGUUCGAGUUUGCCGUCAGCCGUUGGUUCUCGUCUGUUGGUUUGUGGUAGUGUUCUUGUGGCCAUAUCAGUUUUUUUGGCUGAGUUUCAGUCACGUAGUUGGCUUGUAUUUGCUUCAGAAAGGAUUAAUAAAGUAGAUUGAACAUCAUUUAGCAUUUUUCGAGUUUGAAUCGUUGUAAUUUCGCGAUCGAGGUCACCAUUUGAGAGUCGAGGUCGUUUGCGGUGAUAUUAUAUUCCGAUCGAGUCAGGUUCGUCACCUUCAUUCCGACUCUAGUCAGAGGUGAAUGACUUUGGAAUAGGAAGUUUACACAUAGAUUUAAGGUUAGCUUCAUCAGUUGGUGCAACUUGUAGUAUAUUCAAUCUCCUUUUGGAUGCUAGUGAAUAUUAAAUAUGCAAUGCAUUAAAACCAACAUCAUCCCAAUCAAAUCUAUGGUUUUACAUGCUUCAACAGCUUGCUGAGGUGACGUUUUAUAACCUCUGUCCAUUUAAGCUUUUAAAUUUGUGCUUCAUUAAUCCAUGUAAAGCUCAUGAUAUUGGUUUUAAAAUUGCUGAAAAUUUCUUUUGGUUUCUAUGUUAAAAAUGAGAGUUCACAUGGGAUUUGCUGUGCCAUUUUGUUUAUUACAGUGGUUCAUCUUUGUUAUGGUUUUAUAUUCCUUUUGUAUGUUUCUAAAUAGAUUAGUUGAACAAGUUUUCAUUUUAGCUGAAUGUUUGUUUAUAAUUAUAAGAAUAAAGAUUUGGUCAUAUUAGAGGACCAUUGUUUGAUCUUGCAAAAAUAAUUGGAUCUUUGGCAAUCAGUUAAGUAUAUAGACCAUUAAUUUAAUUAAUUAGGGCAAAAUCAGAACAUCGGGCUCAAGAUGAAUAUUCAUAGAAAUGACUUUAAGCGUGACUUAAUCUAUCACCGUGAUUGUGUACACGUUCGCGUGACAUAAUUACGACUCCAAAAACAAACUCGGAGUAUGUGUUCGCGCAACUCUGACCAAAAUUUCUUAAUAAUAAUAAAUCGCGAUUAAUUGUGGACACGUACACGUGACACGAUUCUUGAUACACCAAACAAAAUGAGUACACGUACGCGUGACUCGUUUCAGGUUAAUUUCGUAAUUAAAAGCGUUAAGAGGUAAAAAUGCACAUUGGUUUAAAAAUAAGUAAUUAGACAAUUUAAAUAAGCCAAGUAUGAUUAAAUCAACUAUGCUAAAACAACGGAAUACGGGAAUGCCUAACACCAUCUCCUGGGUUAAUAGAAUUCCUUACCCUAAUUUCUGUGUUCGCAGACUAUAAAUAAGAGUCAACCUUUCCUCGAUUCAUGAUUUUAAACCGGUGACUUGGGACACCAUAAAUUAUCCAAAGUGGCGACAAUGAAUUUAAUAUAAAUAAUCUCGUUUUGUUUGUCACUUAAAUUGGAAAAAACUCCCUUAUACCCUUCCUAGUGUAGCAAAAAGGAGGUGUGACACUUAGCUUUGUGAGGGAUGUUAGUGUAGAGACUCCUACCAUUGAUUCAGUCUCGGUAGUGAGGGACUUUCCGGAUGUGUUUCCUGCAGACCUGUCGGGCAUGCCAUCAGACAGGGAUAUUGACUUUGGUAUUGAUUUGGUGCCGAAAACUUAGCCUAUUUCUAUUCCACCGUAUCAUAUGGCCCCAUCGAAGUUGAAAGAGUUGAAGGAGUAGCUUCAGGAACUCCUUGAUAAGGGGUUUAUUCAGCCUAGUGUGUCACCUUGGGGUGCGCCGGUUCUAUUUGUGAAGAAGAAGGAUGGCACGUUGAGGAUGUGCAUUGAUUAUAGGAAGUUGAACAGAGUCACAAUCAAGAACAAGUACACUUUGUCUCGUAUUAAUGAUUUAUUUGACUAGCUUCAAGGAGCGAGAGUGUUCUCCAAGAUUGAUCUCUAUUAAGGUAUCACCAUUUGAAGAUCAGAGACUCGGAUAUUAGUAAGACAACUUUUAGGACCCGAAAUAGUCAUUAUGAGUUCCUUCUGAUGUCUUUUGGGUUGACCAAUGAUCCAGCAACGUUCAUACAUUUGAUGAACAGUGUGUUUCGGCACUAUCUUGAUUCAUUCAUUAUUUUAUUCAUUGAUGAAAUUCUGGUGUACUCGCGUAGUCAGGAGGAGCACACUGAGCAUUUCAGAGUUGUAUUGCAGCGGUUGAGGGAGGCGAAAUUUUAUGCAAAGUUCUCCAAGUGUGAGUUUUGGCUCAGCUCAGUGGCUUUCUUGGGGUAUGUGGGGUCUAGUGAGGGUAUUCAGGUUGAUCCGAAGAAGAUAGAGGCAGUCCAGAGUUGGCCUAGACCAUCCUUAGUCACAAAGAUUCGCAGCUUUCUUGGUUUGGCGGGGUAAUUGUCGGUUCGUUCAGGGAUUUUUGUCUAUAGCAUCACCCUUGACCUAAUUGACUCAAAAGGGUGCUCUAUUCAGGUGGUUGGAUGAGUGUGAGGCGAACUUUCAGAAGCUCAAGACUACCUUGACCACAACUCCAGUGUUAGUUUUGCCAUCAGCUUUAGGUUCAUAUGUUGUAUGUUGUGAUGCUUCGAUAGUUGGUAUUAGGUGUGUGUUGAUGAAGGAGGGUAGAGUGAUUUCUUAUGUUUAAUGUUAGUUAAAGCCCCAUGAGAAGAACUACCCUAUUCACGAUUUGGAGUUGGCUGCCAUUGUUCAUGUAUUGAAGAUUUGGAGGCAUUAUCUCUAUAGUGUGUCUUGUGAGGUGUUUACUGAUCAUUGUAGCCUCCAACACUUAUUCAAGCAGAAGUAUCUCAAUUUGAGGCAUCGGAGAUGGUUGGAGUUGCUAAAGGACUAUGAGAUCACUAUCUUGUGCCAUCCGGGGAAGGCCAAUGUAGUGGCCGAUGCUUUGAGUAAGAAGGCGGUGAGUAUGGGCAGUCUAGUGUAUAUUCUUGUUGCGGAGAGACCUCUUGUAGUUGAUGUUCAGGUCUUGGCCAAUUGGCUUGUGAGGUUGGAUAUUUCGGAGCCCAAUCAGGUCUUAACUUGUAUGGUUUCUCGGUCUUCCUUGUUUGAUCGCAUCAGAGAGCGCCAGUAUGAUGAUCCUCAUUUACUUUUCCUCAAGAUAGAGUUCAAGAUGACAAUGCCAAAGAUGUGACUAUUGGUGAUUGGGUAUUGAGGAUGCAUGGACGGAUAUGUGUGCCCAAUGUAGACUAGCUUCGGGUGUUGAAUCUGGAGGAGGACCACAGCUCGCGAUAUUCCAUCCAUCUAGGUGUCGCAAAGAUGUAUCAGCAUUUGAGACAACAUUAUAGGUAGAUGAUAAUGAAGAAUGAUAUUGUGGAAUUUGUAGCUCGGUGUCUCAAUUGUCAGCAGGUGAAAUAAGAGCGUCAGAGAUCGGGUGGCUUGCUUCAGCAGAUAGAUAUUCUAGAGUGGAAGUGGGAGCGGAUCACUAUGGAUUUUGUACUUUAAAGAUGUUCGAUGUUAUUUGGGUGAUUGUGGAUCAGCUUACCAAGUCCGCACACUUUAUUCCGCUAUGUACUACCUAUUCUUUAGAGCAGUUAGGAGAGAUUUAUAUCCGAGAGAUUGUUCGCUUUCAUGGUGUCCUAGUUUCCAUCAUUUCAGAUAGAGGUACUCAGUUCACUUUGGGGUUUUGAAGGGCCGUGCAGCGAGAGUUGGGUACUCAGUUUGAGUUGAGCACAACCUUUCACCCUCAGACGAACAAGCAGUCCGAACGCACUAUCCAGAUAUUGGAGGACAUGUUGGGCACUUGCGUCAUUGAUUUUGGGGGUUUGUUGGAUUAGUUUCUACCGCUCAUGAAGUUUGCAUAUAACAACAAUUAUCAGUCGAGUAUUAAGAUGGCUACAUAUGAGGCUUUAUAUGGGAGACAAUGUAGAUCUCCAUUAGGUUGGUUUGAGUCGGGCGAGGCCAGGCUUUCGGGUAUAGACUUGGUGCAUGAUGCUUUGGACAAGGUGAACGUGAUUUAGGAGCAGCUUCGUACAGCGCAAUUGAAACAAAAGAGUUAGGCUGACAGGAAGGUUUUUGAUGUGUCUUACAUGGUUGGGGAGAAGGUUCUACUAAAGGUUUUACUCAUGAAGGGUGUUAUGAGAUUUGGGAAGAAGGAUAAAUUGAGUCCUCGGUUUAUUGGGCCUUUUGAGGUGCUUCGGAGGAUUGGGGAGGUGGCUUAUGAGCUGGCUUUGCCACCUAGCUUGUCGAGUGUGCAUCCGCUAUUUUAUGUUUCUAUGCUUCGAAAGUAUAUUGGCUAUCCAUCUCAUGUUUUGGAUUUUAGCAUGGUUCAGUUAGAUAGUGAUUUGACUUAUAAUGUGGAGCUAGUGGCUAUUUUGGAGCAGCAGGUUUGAAUGUUGAGAUAAAAGGAUAUAGCUUUAGUGAAAGUGUAGUGGAGAGGUCAGCCUGUUGAGGAGGCUACUUGGCAGACCGAGCGGGAGAUACGGUGAAGAUAUCCACACCUAUUUGAGGCUUCAGGUAUGUUUCUUGACUCGUUCGAUGAUGAACAUUUGUUUAAGAAGGGGAGGAUAUAACGACCCGGCCGGUUAUUACAUAAGUUGCCACUCUGUUUCCCCCAUUUUUACUUCAUUGUGUGUUGUUCAGCUGUAUUUCAUCAUAUCGUGUUGGUGGUGUUGUGUUCGGAGUAGCCUUAGGGUGGAAUGAGACACUUAGUCUCUUAAGUUGGUUAUUUAGUUUGUAAAGUCAACCAGAAGUUGACUUGCUGGUAAAUGAUCUUGGAAUUGGGUUUUUAUUGUUCGGAUAGCUUCGAUAGGUGAUUUGGGACUUAGGAGCUUAUUCGAAAUGUAUUUUGGAGGUCCGUGGUAGAUUUAGGCUUGAAUUGGCAAAAUUGAAAAUUUGGCGUUUCCCGGUUGGCAGUUGAAAUCCUGAUAUCGGGGUCGGAUUUGAAUUUCGCAAAUUGUAGUAGGUCCAUUGUGUCAUUUGUGAUGUGUGUGAAAAACUUCAGGUAAUUCGAUUGAGGUUUGAUAGGUUUUCGCAUCAUUUGCAGAAUUCGGAAGUUUUGGAAUCAUUAGGCUUGAAUUCGAGGGUGAUUUGGUAUUUCGAUAUUGUUUUGAGUGUUUAGAAGGUUGGAAUAAGUUUGAAUAGUGGUAUAUGACUUGUUGUCAUGUUUGGUUGAGCUCCCGAGGGCCUCGGGAUGGAUUUGGGUGGUUGACGGAAGGUUUGGUCUUGAAUUUUUGCUGCUUCUAUUGUUUCCUCACCUGCGGAUUUAGGACCGCAGGUGCGAUGAUUGCAGAAGCGGGAAGCAAUCGCAGAUGCGGAUAUUAUUGCAGGAGCGGAGGAGUUGACCGCACCUGCGAGCCCGUAGGUGCAAUUCCUUGGGCGCAGGUGCGGAAGUUGGAGCUCUAAGUGAAAAUCGCAGGUGUGUUAUUUUUACCGCAGAAGAGGCCCGCAAGUGCGUGAAAUGGGCCGCAAGUGCGAAAGUGCUGGGCAGAAUGUAUAAAAAGACCCCUUCGCGAUUUUCAGCCAAUCUUUUACCAUUUUUGUGUGAUUUUGGAGCUCCAAGCCAUGAAUUCAAGGGGGAAAUGAGUGGUUUCAGUGAGGUAAGUUAAUUGGGCUUUGUAUUUGGUGUUUGUGAUGACUUUUCCACUACCUAAUCAUGAAACUAGUGGGGAAUUUGGGGUGAAAUUGAAGGUUAGGGCUUGAGUUUAGGAGAGCUUUGAUUGGGGAUUUUAGGGGUCAUUUGUGGUCCUAUUUUGGUGAUUUUGGUAUGUGUAGACUCGUGAGGAGAUAAGGAUUGUAGUGCUAUGACUUUUAUCGGAUUCUGAGUCGUGGGCCCGGGGUUCGGGUUUGGCCAAUUUCGGAAAUUUUGAGUUAAUUUGAUUAUUUUCUCUUGGGCUUUGUUCCUGUAGCGUGUAUAAAUGAUGUGAUACUGAUUUUUAUUAGAUUUGGAGCAUUUGGAGGCCGAGUCGAGAGGCAAAGGCAUCGCGGGAUAGAGUUUGGUCUGGUUCAAUGUAAGUAAUGAUUGUAAAUGUUGUCUUGAGGUUAUGAAACCCCGGAUUUCAUAUCGUUUCAGUACUUUGAGGUGACUCACACGCUAGAUGACGAGCGUGGGGGCGUGCACCGUUGCGGAUAGUGACUUGGUUUGUCCCGUACGACUAAUAAGUCGUAUAUUUGACUAAAAACUAUUUGAUACCGUCGUGUUUUGGAAAGUAUUACUAUGUUUUGGGCUGAAUGCCAUAUAUGGGCCUCGUGCCAAGCUGUUGGACCAUUAGGGACUUGUUACUACUAUUCCUCACUGUUUUGAUUAAAUAUUCGUACUCAGUCAUGCCGUGUUACUGAUUUCAUAACUCAGUCUUAUUUACUCCGUUUCGAUAUUAUAAAUGAUAUUUUGGCCUGUGCACCCCGUUUUACUGUAGCCUGAAUGGCUUGAGAGAUUUCUGACUGAGUGAGGCUGAGGGCCUGUGUUGUGAAGAUAUCUUGGGAUCGGGCUGCGUUCCGCAACAUGUUGUACUGAUUUGUGAUAUAUGAGAGGCCGAGGGCCUGAUUUAUUAUGCCAUGAGAUAGCUUGUGAUAGCGAUUGGGUUGUAGGAGCCCCUCCGGAGAUGUAUGUAACAAGAUGUUGAAACUAUAGAAAGACAUUUUUCAAGGUAUUUUUACUAAAACUGAGUUUUUAUCAGAUAAUUUAUUUCUAUAAUGUUUUGGAACUAUACCGUGUUUGUUGCAGUUCUAUGACAUGGAAUUAUCUGAUUUCUUAUUGCUCAGCUUUCAUUUACUUUUAUUACUUACUGAGUUGGAGUACUCACAUUACUCACUGCACCUUGUGUGCAGAUCCGGGAGUUGCGGGUUGUGAUAGCGAGCACUGAUCUUCAUCCAGCGGGUCUUUUGGAGUCGGCAAGAUACCUACAUGGCAUUCGCAGCCCUGCUCUUCUCCCUCUUAUCUUCCCUAG